rnacentral:rRNA from 1 species
UACGUAGGGCGCAAGCGUUUGUCCGGAAUUAUUGGGCGUAAAGAGCUCGUAGGCGGUUUGUCGCGUCUGCUGUGAAAACCUAAGGCUCAACCUUGGGCUUGCAGUGGGUACGGGCAGACUAGAGUGCGGUAGGGGUGACUGGAAUUCCUGGUGUAGCGGUGGAAUGCGCAGAUAUCAGGAGGAACACCGAUGGCGAAGGCAGGUCACUGGGCCGCAACUGACGCUGGAGGAGCGGAAAAGCAUUGGGGGAGCGAAACAGG